rnacentral:ncRNA from 1 species
GAUUGGAGAUUCAAAUCAAAGUGAAGAAAUUCAAUGAAGCGCGGGUAAACGGCGGGAGUAACUGUGACUCUCUUAAGGUAGCCAAAUGCCUCGUCAUCUAACUAGUGACGCGCAUGAAU